UACGUAGGGUGCAGGCGUUAAUCGGAAUUACUGGGCGUAAAGCGUGCGCAGGCGGUUUCUUAAGUCAGAUGUGAAAGCCCCGGGCUUAACCUGGGAACUGCGUCCGAUACUGGCAGGCUUGAAUCCGGGAGAGGGAUGCGGAAUUCCAGGUGUAGCGGUGAAAUGCGUAGAUAUCUGGAGGAACACCGGUGGCGAAGGCGGCAUCCUGGACCGGCAUUGACGCUGAGGCGCGAAAGCCAGGGGAGCAAACGGG
rnacentral:rRNA from 1 species